UGGAAUCCUUUGUCACAUAGGUAGCCAAAC
rnacentral:piRNA from 1 species